rnacentral:lncRNA from 1 species
CGCCUCCCAAAGGUGAAAUAUGAUAGCAUUUUAGCAUAUUUCAUGUACCUUUCUCCCUUUACCACCCCAGAUUCUCCCUUUAUGCUGCAGAAUUUCGUGGCUAUAUGUGUGGGGUAGCCAUGAUUAUGAAUCAGUGGAUAAUUCAGUGAUUCCCUUAUUUGCUUAAUUAUCUUCUUCAUAAGAUCUUUUCGUGUCCUGGAUCUAUUUGAUACUGCUGCUAAAACCAAGGUAGUGAAUUAUUAGUCCCUUAUGGAUAAGG